rnacentral:rRNA from 1 species
GACGAACGCUGGCGGCGUGCUUAACACAUGCAAGUCGAACGGAAAGGCCCUGCUUGCAGGGGUACUCGAGUGGCGAACGGGUGAGUAACACGUGGGUGAUCUGCCCUGCACUUCGGGAUAAGCCUGGGAAACUGGGUCUAAUACCGGAUAGGAGCCAUUUUUAGUGUGAUGGUUGGAAAGUUUUUUCGGUGUAGGAUGAGCUCGCGGCCUAUCAGCUUGUUGGUGGGGUAAUGGCCUACCAAGGCGGCGACGGGUAGCCGGCCUGAGAGGGUGGACGGCCACAUUGGGACUGAGAUACGGCCCAGACUCCUACGGGAGGCAGCAGUGGGGAAUAUUGCACAAUGGGCGCAAGCCUGAUGCAGCGACGCCGCGUGGGGGAUGACGGCCUUCGGGUUGGAAACUCCUUUCGCUAGGGACGAAGCUUUUUGUGACGGUACCUAGAUAAGAAGCACCGGCUAACUACGUG